GUUGUUGAUAUUUUGUUAUUGUUCCAGAACGCGUCAUGUAGCUCCGGAAGUAUAAUUACCUUGGUCAUCUGCUGAUUUGGGAUUAAACCGGAUUCCCACGUGGAAAAGGCCUGAAAGAAGAGCUGUUUGGGCUUGACUCCUCAAUCUGACCCUCGGUUAUCAGCCACUGAUCCAGCUGUCGCGUGUCGCUCAAUAACCUACAGCCUGAUUCUCCAUUAGAUGAGACCUCUGACAUUCUGAAGAGCAGGACGACGACAACAACAAAAGUAAAUCCGCUGAGGUCUAAUGUUGUUUAGAGCCCAGUCUUUGUGACCCACACUAAGCCUGGAAUAUCAUGAGGGCUAUUGAAAUGAAGAUGGACAUUAGAUCUCUGUCCUGCAUCAUUGGUGUGUUUCAGAUGGACAGCAGCC